rnacentral:rRNA from 1 species
UACGGAGGGUCCAAGCGUUAUCCGGAAUCAUUGGGUUUAAAGGGUCCGUAGGCGGUUUAGUAAGUCAGUGGUGAAAUCUCCGAGCUUAACUCGGAGACUGCCAUUGAUACUAUCAAUCUUGAAUACUGUGGAGGUCAGCGGAAUAUGUCAUGUAGCGGUGAAAUGCUUAGAUAUGACAUAGAACACCAAUUGCGAAGGCAGCUGGCUACACAAAUAUUGACACUGAGGCACGAAAGCGUGGGGAUCAAACAGG